rnacentral:sRNA from 1 species
GCCAGAGCACUUAGAAACCUUUAGAAGCGUUUAAAACCCUUCUUCUCCGCAACCCUAGUGUGCACAUCUCUUCCUUCACAGAGGGUCGGCUAGUGAGAGUGCUUCUUCGUUCAGUGCGUGUGACCUAUCGGAGUCCUGCUACCGUUGUGGAUGGUCGUCCAUUCCGCCAUCAUUCUCGGCCAGUGGAAAACUCCCAAACCCG